AAAAUCUGUAUACAAAGAGGCCGGGAUUGAAAAAUCAACCGUUUUUAAAAACCGGCAAAAUGAGCCUGAGAAAUAUAUCACCAUGGAAAAGCUUUGCCAAAGAAGCACUGAGUCAAUCCAUAUUAGUAGCCAAAUUCCUCUGCUUUCUCCAUGUCACCAACACCUAUGUCUGCACAGCUGCUCUCACAUACGGUCCCAGCAUGCUUCCUACUCUUAAUCUCACCGGAGACUUAAUUCUGGCCGAGAAAAUCUCCCAUCGGAUUGGGAAAGUGGGCCCCGGUGAUAUUGUUCUUGUUCGUUCUCCUGUUAACCCUAGAAGAAUUGUCACCAAGCGUGUAAUGGGCGUUGGGGGUGAUUCAAUUACUUAUGUUGUUGAUCCCAGGAACAGUGAUAGAAGUAAUACUGUUAGGGUACCUAUGGGGCAUAUUUGGAUAGAGGGAGAUAAUGUGUAUGAUUCUCAUGACUCAAGAAAGUUUGGUGCUGUUCCUUAUGGCCUUCUACAAGCAAAAGUAUUUUUGAGGGUGAAAGACCGACUGAUUCGGGAAAACAAUAGAACGGUGGACAGCCAUCACAGGAUAAAGUAGCAUCUUAUUAAGGAGGGUCAGAAAUUAUGGGCAUCCAACAUACAUACUCUAUUAGUAAAUGACAGGUAUGGCCACCAAAAGACUUCGGACCAUUAGUACAAAAAGCAAAUUAAACGAAGAAUUGUGCAAGGUAAAGCUUCUGGCUAUUGCUUCUUUUCUCUGUCGUUCCUCGAUUGCAUGAAGCUAAUUUAACAGCUGUUCUUGAUGGAUUAUCGAGUUUUGCAUAGUUGGUAGGAAAACACAAUAGCUCUCUAUAGAUUUGGUUUUCUGUGAAGUCACUGUAUGGAGAGCUCCUCCAAAUAAUGGGGUUUUCGUUAAUUUCACUAGUAAAAGAAUUCGGUGCUCAGAA